UACGUAGGGUGCAAGCGUUGUCCGGAAUUAUUGGGCGUAAAGAGCUCGUAGGCGGUCUGUCGCGUCUGCUGUGAAAACUCAGGGCUUAACCCUGAGCUUGCAGUGGGUACGGGCAGACUAGAGUGCGGUAGGGGAGACUGGAAUUCCUGGUGUAGCGGUGAAAUGCGCAGAUAUCAGGAGGAACACCGGUGGCGAAGGCAGGUCUCUGGGCCGAUACUGACGCUGGAGGAGCGAAAGCGUGGGGAGCGAACAGG
rnacentral:rRNA from 1 species